rnacentral:rRNA from 1 species
GACGAACGCUGGCGGCGUGCCUAAUACAUGCAAGUAGAACGCACAGUUUAUACCGUGGCUUGCUACACCAUAGACUGUGAGUUGCGAACGGGUGAGUAACGCGUAGGUAACCUGCCUGGUAGCGGGGGAUAACUAUUGGAAACGAUAGCUAAUACCGCAUAAUAUUAAUUAUUGCAUGAUAAUUAAUUGAAAGGUGCAAUUGCACCACUACCAGAUGGACCUGCGUUGUAUUAGCUAGUAGGUGAGGUAACGGCUCACCUAGGCGACGAUACAUAGCCGACCUGAGAGGGUGAUCGGCCACACUGGGACUGAGACACGGCCCAGACUCCUACGGGAGGCAGCAGUAGGGAAUCUUCGGCAAUGGACGAAAGUCUGACCGAGCAACGCCGCGUGAGUGAAGAAGGUUUUCGGAUCGUAAAGCUCUGUUGUAAGAGAAGAACGGGUGUGAGAGUGGAAAGUUCACACUGUGACGGUAUCUUACCAGAAAGGGACGGCUAACUACGUG